AUUAUAACAAGAUAAGUUAAGGGAUAGUCGUCAAAAUUUAUCCCUUUAUAGACCCAUCGGCAAGAUAUGGGCUUGACAUCCUUCGGCUUAAGAACCAAGUCCCAUGUCUGAUUUUGUUACAUUAAUUGCUUCUUCCAUCGCCUUUCACCAAUUAUUAUUGUUGUAUAAUUCUAUGAAGGUAGUUGGCUCCUUAAUUUUAUCUACUUCAGCAUAUGCAGCAUUAACGUACCUUAGAUUUGGACACUUUACUAGAUCUUUGAAGUUGAGGUUCUGCUUGUUCAACUUUCUCAUGUUGGCUCGGACGAAUAUCUUCAGGUGUCUCAUGAUGUACACUUGUUUGCCAUGGGCUUUUAAAUCGUUCUAAAUCAUUCUUAAUUUUGUGAGUUGGACUGUUCUCCAUCAUCAAUGGUUGGCCCUUCGUCAGCUGCCUUUUGAACGCCGUCUUUUUUAUCUUGUUCUUCCUCAUCCAGUUUUUCAUGUAGCUUAUCUUCUAGUUCCUUAGAGUCAGGCAGCGCCACUUCUUCUGGAGAUCACCAUGAUGAUAUUUCAUCAAAGACAACAUUUCUUGAAACGUAGCAUCAGCCGGUAGUGGGAUCAUAGCAUCUCCAACCUUUUCGUACAUCAUCGUAACUCACAAAGAUACAUCGUCAUGCCUUUUUAUCGAACUUACUACGUAAGUGAUCAGGCACGGACACAUAGCAAACGCACCCGAAGACGUUCAGGUGACUGACUGUGGGCUUAUAAUUCCAUAGCUUCUCGAAUGGGGAGUUGAAGCCUAGCUUUGGUUGUGGCAAACGAUUGGUGAUAUA
rnacentral:misc_RNA from 1 species